UACGAAGGGGGGCUAGCGUUGCUCGGAAUCACUGGGCGUAAAGCGCACGUAGGCGGAUUGCUAAGUCAGGGGUGAAAUCCUGGAGCUCAACUCCAGAACUGCCCUUGAUACUGGCGGUCUCGAGUCCGGAAGAGGUGAGUGGAACUGCGAGUGUAGAGGUGAAAUUCGUAGAUAUUCGCAAGAACACCGGUGGCGAAGGCGGGUCUCUGGGCCGUAACUGACGCUGAGGAGCGAAAGCAUGGGGAGCGAACAGG
rnacentral:rRNA from 1 species